CUUGGUCAUUUAGAGGAAGUAAAAGUCGUAACAAGGUUUCCGUAGGUGAACCUGCGGAAGGAUCAUUACCUAGAGUUUGUAGACUUCGGUCUGCUACCUCUUACCCAUGUCUUUUGAGUACCUUCGUUUCCUCGGCGGGUCCGCCCGCCGAUUGGACAACAUUCAAACCCUUUGCAGUUGCAAUCAGCGUCUGAAAAAACAUAAUAGUUACAACUUUCAACAACGGAUCUCUUGGUUCUGGCAUCGAUGAAGAACGCAGCGAAAUGCGAUAAGUAGUGUGAAUUGCAGAAUUCAGUGAAUCAUCGAAUCUUUGAACGCACAUUGCGCCCCUUGGUAUUCCAUGGGGCAUGCCUGUUCGAGCAUCAUUUGUACCUUCAAGCUCUGCUUGGUGUUGGGUGUUUGUCUCGCCUCUGCGUGUAGACUCGCCUUAAAACAAUUGGCAGCCGGCGUAUUGAUUUCGGAGCGCAGUACAUCUCGCGCUUUGCACUCAUAACGACGACGUCCAAAAGUACAUUUUUACACUCUUGACCUCGGAUCAGGUAGGGAUACCCGCUGAACUUAAGCAUAUCAAUAAGCGGAGGA
rnacentral:rRNA from 1 species